CUGACUCAGUCUCCCUCGCUGGGACUCAAGACCCUCAGCAGCUGCCUGGAAUGGGACUCCAUCAAGGGACCGCAGGCUCCAGGUCCCUCCAGGUCCCCAGACUAUCAGCCCCACAAGGGGAGCGAGGGGGCGCCGACUCCGGGUCAGCAUCCUGCUUCCUGCAGGGCUGCAGCGAGGCCUGCCCAGGGUGCACACAGAGGACUGUUUGUUCGCAGUGGGCGGCGAGGAGAUGCUAAUGCCUGCAGAUCGCUGGGCUCCGGCUGAAGGUCAGGAGGUAAGGCGACCCGCGGUUAUAAAUAACCCUGCCGGGCAGCGGGCACAGGAGGGCUGCUCUGGAUCGGCGCCCCUGGCCUGGCGGGGCCCAGAUUGAUUACUGCCUUCCCCCGGUCCCCGACUGCGGGAACCUGACCCCCUAGAGCACCGUGCAGUGACCUUUAGGAGCGAA
rnacentral:lncRNA from 1 species